CGUCGGCGGGACGGUGCAAGGCGCAACUCCGCCGCGGUUCCUCGCCGGUUGGAUGGCGUUCAGGCGCAACCCCGGCGCGCACUGGGUACUGCCUCGGCUACAACCUCUCUCGGUGAACUGUAGCGACAGCGUGUGCGUGGGGGUCAAGCACGAUAGCGCUGAUGGGUGCCGUCUCCGUCGACUGGAGAACCGCAGGUCGCGGCUCACGCCGCUGCUCUACUGGGGUCAUCAGCCUUUGUACUCGCGUUGCGCGUGCACUCAGUGAACCAACAGAGUCGUGGAUGCAGUGUGAGCGGUAAGCCAGAGCUGCAAUUCGUUGAACAUGGGGUGCUAUUGUGAUGAUCUCAUGCCUCACGCUCUAUAGAGGUACCCACCAUUGAGACUUCUGGGAAACACUGCUCCGACCGGCUGGAGGUGUCGCCGUCGAUGAAAGAGCGCCAUGGAGAGGAGAGCUUUCGCCACUUCCUCCACCACGACAUUUCAAAGCAGUUGUUGCCUCCCCAUCGCUCAGUAGCACGAGCAGCGGUGGAAGCAGGACCAUACUGUCUUGGACCAGGUCG